rnacentral:rRNA from 1 species
AUACGUAGGGGGCGAGCGUUGUCCGGAAUUACUGGGCGUAAAGGGUGCGUAGGUGGCCUUUUAAGUUGGAUGUGAAAUACCCGGGCUUAACCUGGGGGGUGCAUCUAAUACUGGGAGGCUAGAGUGCAGGAGAGGAAAGCGGAAUUCCUAGUGUAGCGGUGAAAUGCGUAGAGAUUAGGAAGAACACCAGUGGCGAAGGCGACUUUCUGGACCGUAACUGACGCUGAGGCAUGAAAGCGUGGGUAGC